rnacentral:lncRNA from 1 species
GCAAAUCAUAGAGACUUCUUACCGUUAGAUCUGAGGUAGCCGGUGGUACCGGUGGUUGCCCCGGUAGUACCGGCAGUUGUUCAUGACCUAUGUAUAAAUAGCUCUUCCCUCAUUUCUGACCGUUAGCUCUCCCAUUCCUUCAACUCUACAUCUGAGAAAUCAGUCUCCAAGCUUUGACUCACCCACUCUCUCUCCCUCUUCGCUCCUAGACUUCACUCCUUGAGAGAUUCGAGCUAGAGAAGUGAGAUUAGAGAGUUGGGAGCUUCGAUUUGUGACUUGAGCACUUGGAUUCUUCGUCUUGCCGGUUUGGUUUGCAUUUGUUACUCUUGGGUUCUUGGAACCCUAGCCGGCUAGGCGUUCUUCGUGGUUGCCCGUGUUGAUUCAUUUGUGAGGGCACCCCGAAG